ensembl:lncRNA
AUUCUUUCUUUAGCUCAGUGUGUCUGUACCUGCAGAAUGGAAAGGUUUUAUGGGGUUACUAGAGGGUGAAAUCUGCACAUAGUCUUGAUAUGACAUGAUGAAAUCAACUUGAUGCUGAAAAAGGAUGAGGUACAUUUACACUGGAGAGUCUAGACUACUAUUUGUUGGGCUUUUCUUUCUUUCUUUCUUUUUUUCUUUCUUUCUUUCUUUCUUUCUUCUUUUUUUUUGGUGGUUUUUAAUUAAUCAUAAAUUUAGCACGUUCAUGACAAUUCUUCUUGAGUUUUUUCAUCUGACAUUGUCUACACAAGUUUACAUUUACAGUUCGAAGACCCAAACCCCCUUUAGGAACUACAACUGCAAACUGACAAUAACAGUCCAGCAUCAACAUAUCCAACAGCAACCCAGAACAUUUCAUGAAGUACUGAGUAAUAUACAACAUCCAGCUUGAAGCAUUGUUUUCUGUGUCUAUUCAGUGCAGAAAUCCAUCACUGAAGUGGAAAUGCAGGCUGGUGACAAAGCUAACAUCAAAUGGCUUCAAUCGAAGAUGUUCAGCAUCAAGACAAGAUUGAGUGGCACAGUCUAAGAGACAGACAGACAGCGGUGACAGGUGCUCUGAUAGAGAGAAAUGCAUGGAGUUUGUUUGCGGGCAGAGGAAAGGAGAGAGAAAGGCUGGCGUGACAAUAGGACUGACGUGAAGAUGAAGUGUCUGCCGUUGACACAGAUAUAGACUGACAGUUACAAAUACACAAAGACAGACAGAAACUAAGGGAGUAAACAAGGAGUAUGAUAACUAGAGUAUGACAGUAAGGUUAUUGCUUUGGGAAACCCAGCC